AGUAUCCUACGGGAGGCAGCAGUGGGGGAUAUUGCACAAUAGGGGGAACCCUGAUGCAGCGACGCCACGUGGGUGAAGAAGCGCCUCGGCGCGUAAAGCCCUGUCAGCAGGGAAGAAAAUGACGGUACCUGAAGAAGAAGCCCCGGCUAACUACGUGCCAGCAGCCGCGGUAAUACGUAGGGGGCAAGCGUUAUCCGGAUUUACUGGGUGUAAAGGGGGCGCAGACGGCGAUGCAAGCCAGGAGUGAAAGCCCGGGGCCCAACCCCGGGACUGCUCUUGGCACUGCGUGGC
rnacentral:rRNA from 1 species